rnacentral:tRNA from 1 species
GGAGAAGUGGCAGAGUGGACUAUUGCACCUGACUUGAAAUCAGCCGAUCGGAAACGGUCCGUGGGUUCGAAUCCCACCUUCUCCUCCA